UCGUAGUGACUGCGGAGGAUCAUUAUUGAAAAAACAUUGUGAAGGAGGUUGAGCUGGCUCUUCUAGGGCAAUGUGCUCGCUGCCUUUCAAUAAUUUUCAUCCACCUGUGCACUUUUUGUAGGGGAUCUGGAAUUUGGACGUGCGCAAGCUUUGUUCAUUAGUACGGGUCUUCUAUGUUUUUACACACUCUUUAAAUGUAUGUCUAGAAUGUUUAACGUUUACUGGGACUUAGUUGGCCCUUUAAAGAAACUAUACAACUUUCAGCAACGGAUCUCUUGGCUCUCGCAUCGAUGAAGAACGCAGCGAAAUGCGAUAAGUAAUGUGAAUUGCAGAAUUCAGUGAAUCAUCGAAUCUUUGAACGCACCUUGCGCCUCUUGGUAUUCCGAGAGGCAUGCCUGUUUGAGUGUCAUUUCACCAGUCAAGCUUCGCUUGGUGUUGGGCCCUCUCGUCCCCGGUGCUCCCGUCCAGGGAGUGGGGGACGGGCCCCAAAGACCUCGGCGGCGCGGUCCUGCUCCGGUGCGUAGCAGCCUAUACCUCGCUCGUGGGGUUCAGGACCGAUGCCUCAGCCGCUAAAAGUGGGGAAGGGGGACUCGCGCCCUCUCUCUCCCUCUCUCUAGGUUGACCUCGGAUCAGGUGGGGAUACCCGCUGAACUUAAGCAUAUCAAUAAGCGGAGGA
rnacentral:rRNA from 1 species